rnacentral:rRNA from 1 species
UACGUAGGGUGCAAGCGUUAAUCGGAAUUACUGGGCGUAAAGCGUGCGCAGGCGGUUUGCUAAGUUGGAUGUGAAAACUCUGGGCUUAACCCAGAGCCUGCAUCCAAAACUGGCAAACUUGAGUACUGGAGGGGAAAGCGGAAUUCCUGGUGUAGCGGUGAAAUGCGUAGAUAUCAGGAGGAACACCGGUGGCGAAGGCGGCUUUCUGGACAGUAACUGACGCUGAGGCGCGAAAGCUAGGGGAGCAAACAGG